rnacentral:lncRNA from 1 species
CCUUGCUCUUCCAACUGUCAUUCUGGUCCUGCCAGUCAACUUUAGAAUUCCAAAAUCCUCCAACUCCAUCUUAACAAGGGGAAGAAUAUUAUUAUUAGAAGGAGAGGAAGAGAGUGCUAAAAGUCCUAUGAUAACCCAGAUCUUCUCCAUUGUCAGAAUCAUGCCCAAAUUCAUACCUGUUGUAUUCUUCUGGAUCAGCACCUUCAGGAUGAACCCAAAUAUUUGCUUACUUUUAACAAGCAGAGCCCAG